GAUAUGGCUCAGGAUGAACGCUAGCUACAGGCUUAACACAUGCAAGUCGAGGGGCAGCAUUUUUCUAGCAAUAGAAGAGAUGGCGACCGGCGCACGGGUGAGUAACACGUAUCCAACCUACCGAUAACUCUGGAAUAGCCUUUCGAAAGAAAGAUUAAUACCGGAUAGUAUACGAAUAUCGCAUGAUAUUUUUAUUUAAAGAAUUUCGGUUAUCGAUGGGGAUGCGUUCCAUUAGUUUGUUGGCGGGG
rnacentral:rRNA from 1 species